AGAGUUUGAUCCUGGCUCAGGACGAACGCUGGCGGCGUGCCUAAUACAUGCAAGUCGAGCGGGGUUAAUGAAAAAGCUUGCUUUUUCAUUAACCUAGCGGCGGACGGGUGAGUAACACGUGGGAAACCUGCCCUUUUGACUGGGAUAACAUCGGGAAACCGAUGCUAAUACCGGAUAGGAAUUUAGGAGGCAUCUCCUAG
rnacentral:rRNA from 1 species